CGGCGGCUACUCCACCUAAUAGCCGCCGUGACCAGAAAAAAGGAGGAAACGACCCAACCGCCUGACUUGCGGUGCGGCAGUGUGGAGACCUGCCGUAAAAGCGGCGCGCGGCAUCGCCUGCGGCCGUGAGAAACGCUUUGCGGAGGCAUCGCGCUUCAAAGUCUGUUUAUGGCA
rnacentral:ncRNA from 1 species